UUGAAAUAUAAGCCAUGACUACUUAAAUAAUCAUCAUCAGUGCUAUGGCUAAGCUUUGGCUUCAAGAGAGAGAAUAUAAAACAUAAAACUACUGUUGCAAGUGUGGUUGGCCACUAGUGAUGAAUGAAAUAGCAGAGUUUGGUUUUAUAUACAAUUUUGGAAAACUGAUUGAUGACAUUAUUUUGAAAAGUGAUUUCACAGUUGCAAAAUGUAAAACUCACUAAAAUUACAAUUAAAAAUUUCUUUGGGGUGGAAAGCAAGGAAUAUUAAGGUUUUUUCCCAGGCCAAAACUGCUGUCUCCUUCCCCGUUGCAUUAUCAAGGGAUUUGUGAGACUUACCAAGUCCAUUACUAGUUUGGUCUGUGUCUGCACCUUAAGAUUUAGGAGUUUUGUCUCCAAAUGUUCAAAAAUGUACAUGAAAUACAUGAAAAAAAUGCCCAAAAGAGCAGAAUAAAAGCAAAAGAAGUUGCCAACCAUUCAAAAGCAAACAACUCCCAGUUUAAAAUACUACAUCAAAAUUUGUAGACAGAAGCAGAAAAGGGAAAAAGUGAAAAGAAAAUUCAGUGAAAACAGCAAUACUGACAAAAACAUCAACACUCCAACAAAGUGCCUCAAGUAAACCACAAGGGGCUCCUCUUCCCUGCCUUCCAAUUAUGGGGCAAUUAGCAGUGGGGUGUUAGGGGUCCACCUAUAACAUACAAGGAACAAAGAAGACCAAAAGAAACAAAAUAAAAAAUAAAUAAAAUUGACAUGGAACACAUAAUUAGACAAAAAAAAAAAAAACAAUAUUAACAUAAAAAGUAAUUACAGAAUAAAGACAUAAAAGAGAAUUUAAACAUAAGCCAUGGAAGUACCAUAGCUAAAACAACAAAUCAAAAAUAUAAAUAUUCCAGAAAUAUAAAAAUCUUUUUCAAGGGAGAGGAAAAUGUAUUCAGUCUCUGGUUUGUAAGGACAAUUAAUUUCUUUCAAUCAAUCAAAGAGAACAAAAAAUGAAAAAGGCAAAAUAAGGGCAAAGUGGAUUUCUCUAAUCAGGGAAUCCAAUGCAAGCAAGUCAAAAUCAAAAUGCAAAAGAAAAAUACAAAAAACAGAUGCACAAAUGUCACAGAAUAAACCCAGAAAAUACUGCAACAGUGCUCACAAUAACAAACCUUUCCCCAUCGAUGUCAAUGAACCUCUGAGGGUCUCCCUCCCCAGCCUGAAAUAAAUAGGCUGAGUGCAGGCAGGUGGCCCCGCCUCCAUUCACCUAAAACAAGGAAUGUCUACUUUAUGUAAAAUGUAUGUAUUGUGCAUUUGUGCUUAAAUUCUAAACAAAACAAAAUGAUCACAAAUUACAUAAAACAAUAAACAAGUGACAAAAUAAGAUUUCAGAAUUCUUAGAAGUAACAAUAAAAAGAAAAAUAAACAUAAGCCAGAGAACAAACCCUGUAACAUAACAAUACUCAAGCCAAACAACUGCAGAGCCCAUUCAAAGUGCAUUAAGGUAAUUCAAGUUCUCUCUAGCCAAUCCCUCUUUUCUGUGCUCUGCAGCAGAAUAAAUUUUGCGAUGAUUAAAAUACAUUUGCUAAUUAUUCUAAUUUUGUUUGUGGUGAAACACUUUUUUUUUGGCAAAGCGAUUUGCAAAUUCAAUUUCACAUCAAUUGUUUCACUCAUCACUACUGGUCACUAGGUACAAUGUGGCGAAAUACAAAAAUGACUUUGAACAUGUAAAGCAGCACCAUAGAUAAUCACAAGAAGAAGAAUUAUUACAAAGUUUCCUUUGAAAAUGGCACACUGCUUACCCAUUCCAGCCAUCAUCAAAGGAAAUGAAAAAUAAGUCAAAGCACGGGGUCAGCACUUGCACAUGCUACAGCCGCUAUCGCUUCAGGAAGCUUGCAGGUGGGGGUGAGGGGAGCCGGUUGGCCAAACAAAUGUGCUUCAAGCACAGUGCAGGCCCCAAGGUAGCGAUCAGAUCUUAUGCCACUUCAUUUAUCAACUGUUCUGUGUACAUGUCUUACCACUCCCACUUGCAAAUUUUCCAGGUGCAUCUCCCCCAAGCCCCUGUGUGUCUCACAGUAAACAAAAGAAAAAGUGGUAAAAAAAAAA